rnacentral:tRNA from 2 species
GCCGAGGUAGCUCAGUAGGUAGAGCAGAGGACUGAAAAUCCUCGUGUCGCUGGUUCGAUUCCGGCCCUCGGCA